rnacentral:rRNA from 1 species
GCUUACGGCCACACCACCCUGAGCGCGCCCGAUCUCGUCUGAUCUCGGAAGCUAAGCAGGGUCGGGCCUGGUUAGUACUUGGAUGGGAGACCGCCUGGGAAUACCAGGUGCCGUAAGCC